AGGAAUGGAUGUCAGCCUAACAGCGUCGCAUCGUGCGACAACAGGUGACUGACCCACUUCCUGGAGG
rnacentral:sRNA from 1 species